ensembl:lncRNA
UGUCAUUUCACGGGGAGAAAACUGGAAGUCCCUGCACAAAAGGAAGGAGCGCUCACACAGGGAGUGGAAAUUUGCACUGGCUCCUUCGGUUGGUGCAAUGGAGGUGGUUUUAAAACUUCAAGUGAGAAAAAUAUCUGUCUUCCUUCUUCUCCUCAUUUCAGAGCCCUAAAACCUUCUUAUGUCGAAGUGCACUUGCGUAUUUGAGUUCAAAGAAGGCAGGGACACAGAGGAGAAGCAACAGAUGGCUGAUAUUGCUAGGAAGUGAACUCAUCCCUUCAGUUAUCUUCUGGCCCUCCUGAGCUCAUUCUGGAGUUAUUUAGAGCCAGUUCCUCUCUGUUUUUUCUCUUUGGGAAGCUGAGAGACAUCGACUUUUCCAAGCUACAAGCUGGACACGUCCCUCCGUCUCCAAGAGGAUGGCAACUCACAGCCUGGGAGCAACCCAAUGCCCAAAGUAUGGUGCACAACUCCACAGCAAAUGGCCGCGUGCUGGCAGGAGUGGGUACAUGAAGGUUCUAAAGGUUGUACUUGAGCUCACUCUGCCCCUAUAAAAUUCCCUACAUGUGCAGAUGCGUGAAGAAGACUCAUCUGCUGCUUUUCCAAGCCACUUGCUUGAGAGAAGGAUGGAUGGACUGUGAACCCGUUAAAUAACCUCCUCAUUUUGGGUCCAUUUGCUUUGCCCUCGAGAUGAGUCAGGUUCAAAGAAAACAAAACAAACAAACAAAAAAAGGAACACAUUUGUGACAUCUUUUGCUUUUACGGAGGAUAUGUCCUCUCCCCUGUGCAGAAUGGAUCAUACAUCAUGACGAUGCACAGUGGUCUGAGAAUGGAUGAGAGUUUGCAUGGAAACACCCCUAAGGUGCAUAAGGAACAGUGUUAGAUACACUAAAUGUAUGGCAAUCUCUUUCUACCUGUUUUUAGAAGACAAUUGCAGACCUUUCCAGUGCAGGAGAAGUACAUCCACACUCACUGAGCAAAUCUCUCCUCCAUUGAGCCUGCUCAAUUCCUGUGCCCUAAAGGGCCCCCACAUCACAUCACUCCAUUUUUCUUAUCCUCAAUCAUUUCCAG